UAUUUUUGUGACCAAACAACGUAGCGUAUGAGUAACGCAUGAAAGUCCUCAAUGGCGGACUUAGCCGGCAAGCGAAGCAAACAAACUGACUGACGGAGGUAGGUGGAAAUGUAGUGCGCACUGUAAGUACUCGCACACUCAUACAAAUAAUAAAUGAUAGGAUAUGGAGAAAAAUGCAAAAAA